AUCUACGGCCACAGACUCUAGAAAUCACUGCAUCCCGUUAGCUCUGCAAAGUUAAGCUGGGGAUCGCUCGAUCGGUACCGAGGUCGGGGACGACUCGGGAAUCUCGAAUGCUGUAGUUU
rfam:Cryptococcus bestiolae CBS 10118 unplaced genomic scaffold supercont1.7, whole genome shotgun sequence.